AAACAAUGAUGAGGACACUCUAAGAGGAGGUCUUUAAAACGUUCCAUACAUCGGAGAAUGAUUCAUUGGGUCUCUGGAGAAACUGGAGAAUGUCGUCCCUAAGUUU
rnacentral:snoRNA from 1 species